rnacentral:misc_RNA from 1 species
CCAAACUUGGUCAUUUAGAGGAAGUAAAAGUCGUAACAAGGUCUCCGUUGGUGAACCAGCGGAGGGAUCAUUAAAGAGUAUUUAAAACAACUCUUCUAACCCGUGUGAACCUACCCAUCGUUGCCUCGGCGGUGACGCCUACCCGGUAGCAGUUACCCUGUAGCAUCGUUACUUACCCUGUAGCGACCUACCCUGUAGUCGGCCGCCGGUGGACUUUUUAAGCUCGUCUCUGCAGUGGCACCUCUGAAGUUAGCAUUUUUAUGAAUAAGUCAAAACUUUCAACAACGGAUCUCUUGGUUCUGGCAUCGAUGAAGAACGCAGC